rnacentral:lncRNA from 10 species
CUCUAUUAUCUCGGCUUCUCGGGAGGAGCCUCAUCUAGUCAGUCACGCAGAAGUUUCUCUUUCGCUCUUCGCGCUACACACCCAGAUUGGCUUCCAGCGCGCAGGCGAGUGGGGCGAAGGAGGGGGGACAGGAGUCCCGGAAGGGCCGUCCGGCGUUCACACCCACCCCUGUUCCGCUCCUCCCGCCCCAAACAAAGUCCCCCGACUCUAGGUCCAGGAUACGUUACCUGCCCGGCGCUCCCGGCCCCUCGGUCACCGCAUCCCCCGCUGGGCGCGCCUGGUACGGGUCCCGCUCCCCGGGGCUCACAAAGUGGUCGCCCCUGGCUGGGCGGCUGGGUAGAUGCCCCUCUCUGGACAUGUUGGGGCGGUUUUUGGGGUGGAGGGAACGCGGGAAGUGAAAGCGGAGGCUGGGACAAGGGGAACUUACUGAUAAAAUGGAAAAAAAAAAAGCCCACAGGGCCCAGGUCCUGGCCGGGGGCGAAAGAGGCCUGUUACCUUUCGGGGGGUCGCGGCCGACCAAGAAGGGAGCCGGGGAGUCGCCCGCCCCCCUCCCCCGGCCCCCGGCCCCCGGCCCCCGGCGGCUGCGGCAGCUGCACACAGAAGCCCAUUGUCGCCGGCGUCCGGCGCGCAGCCCCGCGGACUCGGCCCCGCGGCCAAGCGCGUCAGCGGCCCCGUCAGCCGGGCCGGGCUCCGUGACGCGCGCGCAGCCCGCGCUAUAAAUAACCUGCCGCCGGGCGGCUCGGGCGGCUUUCCAGUGACGCUGGGGCGGAGGCGCGGUAGGAGGAGGGCGAAAGGAAACAAUAAAACCGCCCGGCAGCCUCCCAAGUCUCCCUCCUCCCUUCCCAGGCCGCCCGCGGCCCUUCGCGUCGAGCUCCUUUUUCCCCGCCCCGGCCCGCCCUGCGGGGAGCGCGGUUCGCGGGUGGGAAGGAGCCCGGCGUGCUGGCGUCCCCGAGUGCUGCCGGGGCCCCGGGGCGGGAGGGGGUUUUUCCCGCACCCUGGGAUGGCGAGGAGGGAACUUGGCGACAAGUUUAGUGAGGGGAUCGCUGUGUUCCUUUCUAGUCCAGUUAAAAUGACCCGAGCUUUUCCCGCUCCCUCACACACCUAUUCUAGUACAGGUCGGAUGUGUUUUUGGGGUAGUAAGUCCUCAACCGAAAACAAAAGCGAAAAACCUGUCGUCUUCAACGUAAGCAUUAUCUAGGUUUUUGUGGGGCCAGGCUUGCAUUAGUGUUUUCAUUCGGGGGGUUGUAUUAUAGAAAGGGUGCCCCGUAGUAGCAGCGUGAGGAAGGGUUCCAGGACCCAGGCUGUCAGCUCCGGUGCAUUUACAGGUCUUUUUGCCGUAGAAUUUAGCAUAGGCCUGAAACAUGGCAUAAAUGAACUUUCUAAAAGUCUAUAAUCUCAACGUUAAAGAGCUUACUUUUUAACUCUGGACUUUAAUAAAGGCUCCCACUUUAAAAGGGGCUUUCUCUAUAGGAAAGUAUUAAUAUUUUUGUGGAGACUCUCACUGCUACCUUCCAUACUCAGGCAAUUCUGUCACACACCCUGACACUUGUCCUACUCAUUAAGGUACCCACAUACAACUGGAGGUAAUCUGUUUUCUUGGACCAACAAUUAAUAGACUAUAAAACUGUAUUUCGUCUUGAGCAAAAUGUCUCAGCUAUGAACAUGUUUUCUGAGGUUCUGAUAUAGACAUAGAUAAAAAUUUGCAGAUGCAAGCAAGGUGUUGCAGUGACUUGGCAUGGUUAGAGUGAGUUACUAGUGUUGGGGGAAAUGGUUCUUAGUUCACUAGUGAGGCAAAGUGGUAUAGUAGAAGGUUCUCUGAGCUGGGGUUUAGAAGAUAAAGAAAUUUGAGUUUUAAUUAUGUCUUCACUGUACUUUUCUGUGCCACCUUGCAGAAACCACGGCCUUUCUCUGCCGCACUUUCUUCAUUAACAUUAAGGACUGAUAGUUCCUUUUCUACCCUUACAUUCUAGGAUGUUAAAGGAUAUUGUGUCCAGGGAUAAAGUUUUAUCAAAUAAACAUAAGCACCCAGUGUCUCAUGGGAGACAGGUAACAAAUGUAGAUUAAUUUGGUGUUCUGACAUUUUAAAAUUUUGUACAUCUUAAAAUAUAUUAGGGCCACUUCAGGAAAAUAAUGAAUUAAAAUAUACCAUUAAAACUAUUUUAAGAGGAAAAACUAGUCACAGUCUGCCUCAUUUACAGGACAGCAGACAUAUUUACAGUCUAAUGAUGUCACAGGCCCUUUCCAACACCACGUUUUCUCAUGUGAGCAAAUGGAUUAUGGGUAGCAAAAUGCAAUGAGAUCACUUUCUCCAAUUUUGCUCCCAUUUCUGGUUUGUGUGGUUUUUAAAAGGAAUGUUUCCGUUGAAAGACACUGAAUUGUUUAUCACUAAGUGGUGUUAUUGAGACAAGGGAAAGUUUUCUGAUUUAUCAGUCAGAAUAUGCUUUAUUCUUCUUUCUUCAGGUUGGUGAAUCAGAAAACAUAAAAGUGGCAAAAUAAGUUUAGAGCCAAAACAUUUGCUUCAUAUAGUCACCGCCAAAGUGUGAUCACAACUAAAAGUUAACCAAUAUUUUUCCAGUUCCAAAAGCACAUCUGUCUCUCUUUCCCAUAAAAUGUUUGAUAUGUCUAAUUUAACUUAGCCUUAAGGUUCUUUCUUCUGCUCCUUAUAAAGAGGUAUUUUUCUUUCACUGCUAUUUUCCUGAAACACUGAGCUUCUCUCAUAAUUUUAAAUUAAAGCCCUUUUGCUUACUUCUUAUCCCUUUUUAACGUGAUGUUCCAUUUUCCAUUAUCCCUGCCCUUAAAAAUUUAAUAGGAUGAGAACUAGCAUAUAUUGGCGAAAUUUGAAACAUGCCCGAUUUUAGAGGGGAGGGAGGAAACAAGAUUAGCUUUAGAACCAGUAGAAAUACAGUAAAACAACCAGUUUCCUCAAAACUAACAAAAACAAAAAAAUCAUAACGAAAUUCGUGAAAUAGGGGACUGAAAAUACGGAAAAUAUUUUAUCUGGAUCUCAUUGAUAACAUAAAGCUUGUUACAAUUUUUCAAACAUAGUGAAUGUUUUAGAAUGUGAACAUUUCCCAAUCUUCUGAAGUUUCUGUCUACCUGAGGUUAAAUCCUUUGAAAGACUCCUCUACAGCAACAGUAUUGAAGAAUUUAUUAGAGAAACUACAGUGAACUCUUGCCUUAUUACUCAGUUAAUCCUGAUCUAUAUUUAGAGAGUGGUGCCAGCCAGGUUGAGGCUUCAAAGGAAUGAGCACAAAUAUUUACCAUAUCCUGUGCAGUAGAGUUUUGGUGAUUGAAAUGAAAAUUCAUCUUGGAAAAUAUCACUGAAGUUAUAGUAUAAGCAAAUCUCAGCAACCUUCAAAUGAAUAAAUAGAAGGUUAACAAGAAAAGUGAUGAGGGAUUCUCAGUAUUCCAAAUGAAAGAAAAGAGACAACUCAGAUUUAGAGGUAGGAGCCUUCUUCAUUUAAAAGGCCAAGAAAUUCAGGCAGACAGUGUCUUAAAAAUAAGGGUGACUAAAUUCAGGAAAAUUACAGGGCUCCCAACAUUAGUUAAAAAUGUGGACAUAUACGCACAUAACCGGCCCUUCUGAUGAGGCUGUCCUGAUUUUAAUGGGUAAUGCCUCAAGCUGCCCAGACUUUGGUAUCCUCCCAUUGAUGGGAGCCACUGCAAACAACUUUGUUGUUCUAGUAUAAAUUAUCAACCUCCAACUAGGAUUUGUUAACUAUGAAUUUUUUAAAAUCCUCUGUGUGGGUUUAGGGUCCUAGACUUGUUUGCCCUCGGUUUCAUUCCUGGUUCUUCUUUCCCCUCCUCUGGUCCAUAUCACAGGGACACUAAUCCCUGCAAGCUGCAUUUCCAAGCUUCCUUGUGAGCUGGUUGCCAGCUGGGUUUGAAUGGGAAGCUGGAGGAGGACAGUGGAGAGCUGGAGGGUAGGAAAAGCUAGGGUGUUCCCCACCACACUGCCACACUCCAGCUCCGGCCAAGUGAUCCAUGACCUCUGACCCUGUGCCCCGGUAUCACAGCCUCUUUCCUUUAUUCUUCCAUUUUGGAGUCACAGUGCCUUCAUCCUUUUGAAAAAUAACUGUCCCUUUUUUGGUUUCUUAGCUCUGUUCUCACCUGUUUUACAAAUUUAUUGAAUUAAAUUCUCCCUAUGUUAAAUACUCAGAGCAGUUUCUGUUUUCCUGGUUGGAGCCUGAAUCCAUAUAUCCCUUUGACAGGCAUUACUGGACCGUAUACACGGAAAAUUCGAUUAUUCCUUGAAUUUCUUUUGCUAGGAAUUCUUUUUUAAAAUGUGCUACUUAGAAGUGCUAAUAAAGGGUUCAGUCCUCAGAAAAGCAGGAUAAAACCUAGUACACUUUAAAAAAUCAAUUUCCUGUGGGCAUAAUAUUAAAAAUUAUAAACACAAAAUAUUACAUAACUUCUCGUAAGUCAGAACAGGGCAAAUACAUAGCUGAGGCUGAGACAUAAAUUCCAUGCCAAUAAGAAGGGUGGCAUAUAAUACCUGUCAAGGCUUAAUUUACAUCACACAUUUGUGAGGCCUACUCAUUCACUAGCUUGUUUGCCAAUGGUCUCCGCCUCCUCAGAUCUUAAACGAGAGAAGGAGAGAGAGAAAGAAGAAGACACUUACAUUACUAAUUUGAAACUUUAUUAUAUAUGUGAUUCCUUGGAAUAAUAUUUUGAAAUCUACAUCAUGUCUGUAUUUUUCUUUUCCCUGUAUUUUCUGCUAUUGCUUCUCUCCUCCCUCUCCACCCCUGUAAGCAGAUCUCCUACUGGGUGUUCAUUGUCCCAAGAAGAGGUAAAAGGAAAUGCAAACAAAAAUGAUCUAUGAGUAUUUAUGGCUUUGUUUUAUAAAAUCCUAAAUUCUUAAGAAAAAGAAUCCAGAGUAUCUGGAAGAAGCUUCAAAGGGGAAAAUAUUUUUCUGAAACUGUUAAAAGGAUUCCCGUGGGCACAUACAAGGGGAGAGAGACAGAACGAUUAGGUUUCCUGAGGGAGAAACAAGGAACUAGAAGCUGAUACUGGGGAAGUAGCCCAAGUAAGAAGAGGCCAGGGUACACUUGGCAAAGGAAUCCCAAGAGGUUGUGGUUUUAGCAUCCAGGUGUGUCACGGGAGACAAAUCAUCACACAAAUACUACCUAGACCUUACUCAUCUGUACUAGAGAUUGCACUAGUUCUUCUUUCCAUUGACCGGUCUUCACCCUAGGGAGCCAAAGUGACUGGUCAAGACUUGUACAGGAGCCACCAGGAGGGAUCUCUGUAUUUCUUUGUUCUCUGUACUUGAACAAAUGUAAAUUGCCACCACAGGGCACAAGCCUGCUGGAGAACAGAGCCAACACAGAGAAAAUGGAUCCAGGAGAUGAAGAUGGAGAAACUGGGUGCUGAAGACCUUUGAGCUGUUUUUGGAGCUAGACUGAUCACUGGACUUUCAAAUCAUAUGAGUAAAUUUGUUCUCUUUUAGGUAAAACCUGGCUGUGCCCUGUUGAAAUCAAUUCUGUUGCAGUCAUAUGCGGUGGAAUCUGUUCUUCUUUUGCAUCCUACGUAACCAGACCAAGCUGUGGGGUGAGUGCUUUUCUUGUUCUCCAGUGCCAUUUUCAGACCUGUUGUCUUCCUGCAUCCUUCCAAACCCCAGGCUCUGUUAAAGUUGUGCCAUCAGAGUUUUUUGGGUUUCUGUAAAGAUGAGAUCUCACUAUGUUGUCCAGGCUGGUCUUGAACUCCUGGCCUCAAGCAGUCCUCCUGCCUUGGACUCCCAAAGUGCUGAGAUUACAGACAUGAGCCAUCACACCUGGCCCUGUGCCAUCAGACUUUGGCACCUAUUCCCCUUCCUUGUUGCUGUCAUCUAGAGAAUUCAGUUAACUUUAUUCUUUGAUAAAUUUAGCACCUGGCUCAUUGGGGCUUUUUUCAUUAUUAUUCUGAUGUUAUUCUCACUCACUUCCUUCUUUCUGACUUCAAUGCCCACUCAAAUAUUACAUCUAAUACCUUAGACUCCAGUUUCCAGAUCCUCCCACCUUACAAUAGAAUGAUAUAAUUCUUCACCGACCAUCAGCUAUCCACUCCUGUCUAAGGUCAUACUUCUGACCUUGUAAUCAUCAAUAAGUCCAUCAUCUCCAGUAUCUCUAGUACCAGCAUCCCAUUCUUUGACUAUUGUCUUCUAUCCUAAAAGCUCACUAAACCAAGAAUAUCUAUACAAACAAUAUCUUGCCUUUAUUAAGACUCUCUAAUCUGGUGAGUUUAUGACUGAAUCACUAUCAAUCUGUCCUCUUCAGGUACUCCCUUCCUUAUUCACUCACCUUAGACUCUGUAAUACAUUAUUAAGCCACUGUUUGAUAACACCCUUCACUCCCUUGCCUCUGCCACCCUCCUUCACCUUAGCCGAGCUGCAACCCUCUUAUACCCAAUGGUCCCCAUGCAACAACACAACUGAACACUGGUGAAGACAAAAACGUAUGCUUGCUAGCAUCACUUUAAAUUCUGGCUAUAAAUCUCAAGUGGGUAGUCAAGAGCAGUAUUAUUAAACCUGUAGGACUUUUGCAUUCCCACUUUCCAAAAUGAUAAUUUCACCUCAUGUCUUAACUCCUUAAAUCUCCUGACCCAUUUUACUGUUCAUAGUCUCAGCUUAUAACAUUGCUUCAUAAAUCAUUGAGAAAAUAGAAGUAGUUUGACAAGAAUUCCCUCACCUUUCCAAUCAAAUAUUAUCUAUCCUCCUCACUCUAUACCUAUUUUCUGCCUGCUCAAUUUAUUGUAGAGCAACUGUCUCUGCUGCUGUCACUGGUACACUCUCUGGUUUUACUCUGGAAUUCAUGCCCCCCUCACCUUAUUAAAGGUUUUGUUUCUCAAUUCUCUGCUCAUUCUUCCCUGAAUCAUCACUUCUUUCCUCAAUCACUCCCAUUGUCAUAUACCAGUUCUAAUAAUUCCUUUCUUACACACACACAAACACACUGACAACUAAAACAAUAAUAAUAGCAAAAAGAGCAGCAAAAAGACCUUCACUUCACCUUCCAUCCUUUUCCAGCGGUCUCCUGUGUCUCAGCUUAAAUGUUUUCCCAGGGGGUCUUCCUCGUCCACCCAUUUAAAAGUAGCAGCUCAGUUAUUUUUUAUCAUAUUAUUCAAUUUGAAGUCUCUUCAUUGCAUUUAUCACUCUCUUAUGUGUGUAUAUGUUAAUGUUUGUUUACUGUUUUUCUCCACCUCCCCCCAUAUUACAUAAGCUCUGGGAGUGCAAGUGUCUUCUGUCUUUUCAUGUCUGUAAUCUCAGCACACAUGAUAGGCGAAGAAAGUCCUCAAUAAUAAUCUUUGAGUGAGUGAACGAAUGAAUGAAUGAAUGACUCUGUGUGUGUGUGUGUGUGUGUGUGUGUGUGUGUGUGUGUGUGUGUGUCUACAACUAGACCAUAGGAUUCACCAGGGCAAGGACUUUGUGUCUUAUAAGUCUUUGUAGUUGGUGUUUAAUAAACACUUGUUGCAUGAGUGAGUGAAUCAUUGCUCUAAAUGAGCAAUAAUCUAAAGAUAAAAGUUAUUAACAUGAUGUUCCGCUUUUAAAAUUUGCAUUGGCAUUUUUACUUUAACAAAAUCAAAAUGAUUUCUUUUAGGAUUAUACUAAUUCCUUUUAAACUAGUGCUAAUUUGUGUGACUUAUCCAUAUGCAUCUAAAUUAAUUUUUCUAACUUUAACUAGAGCUUAUAAAUAAAUAAGUAUACAUAUAUGUAUGUAGAUGGAUGGCUAUAUAUACACCUACCCACACAUAUAUAAAACAUAUGUUAGUCCUGUUCUAAGGAUCUGCCAAACUUUCUUGGUAAGACUUGCCAAUUGCAAUCAUGUGACAGGAUGACAGUUCUCUUCUCUGGGAGAAGUCCAGACUUCCAGUGUCUGGGACAGAAAUAAUGUAGACCAAGAAACAUAUAUAGCUGAUGAUGGAUGAUUUUUGGCUCUCAUAAUGUGAGGUUUGGUCUUCUUAUUGGGAGACUAUGAAAAUCAUUAGAUCAGAAAUUAUUUUUAUUUCUACUCAGUUGAAAGAAGUUUUCCUUCUAGUAUUUCUGUAUGCAGGCAUACUGCAAAGACAAUUUGCUUGGUCAAUAUGGGUUUAUACUAAACUCUACAACUCAAAGAUAGGAUGAGAUCCUUUUGCCAGUGUAGCUGUCUUAUUUUUAUUGGCAUAGUGACUGUGUGUCCAAAUAUACACCAAUUAUAGAUGUUUUCCUGUUGUCAGUAAUAUGGUACUGUUUAAGAGUGAAGACGUUUUCACUCUCAGGCAAAACUGAUUCUGAGGACAUGACAGGGAUACUUCAGUGAUUGCAUUUAUGCGCACAGAGGAGGUUAACAGUUAGGAAUGCUUUCAGUGGUAAGCAACAAAAUAAUUAGCAGUGCUUCAACAAAUUGGGGCUCAGUGGCUCAAUGACAUAAAGAGUGCCAUCUUUGCAAUUCCAAUGACCUUCCUGUCAAAGUCGAAUGAUGGCUGCAGUGCAAAAGUGUCCUAGCACACCUGUCCUAGCAAGUGUGCUUUUGCUAGGUCAGGUGUGCUAGAAGCAGGAGGUGGUGUGGACAGGUGAGUUUCUCUUUUUGCUUAUAUUCUCUUAUCAAGGAGAUAAAAACACUUAUCCUCCAACAAACUCCUCCAACAAACUUCCCUUUACAUCUUAUUGCCUCUUAAUUUGUCCCAUGACAGUUCCUAGACCAGCUGCCGAAGCUACCUUUCCUGAGAACUAAAAUCCUUGCCUGAUUUCUGAACAAAUGGGGCCUCCACUUGAAAGAGUGGAUAGAGGAAUGGUUUUUGUGAUGGCAAGGAAUAGAGCCUGCCACAGCGGGCUAACAACCACACUCAUGAAGUUUCAUGGAGGAGAUCUUGCUUAUGUUGAAUUCAACAGAAGCCGACAGGUAAUACAGUUGAGAAAGGUUGAAAAGGCAGAGAGAGAGAGCUGCUUCUGCAAGUGUAUUGAACAAUCAAAGGCAAAUAAUUCGUUACAGCUGGGCAUUCUGUACAUGUAGAUUAGUGAGAGAUGACUGCAGAGGUCAGCAGACCUCGUGCCAUAAAGACAACAUGGAAGCAGGGAGUCAAGUUCUCAUACCUUUGGGCAUUCAUUCUGAAAUUGCUAAAGAAGCAAAUAAAUGUCUGUCUGGGCUUUCCCGCCAUACAUGACUGAGAAUAUCCAGACAUUUCUCUAUAUUAAAGAAAAAGGAGAGAGCAGUCAUUACUUAGAAUGUCUUUUUGUGCUUGCGCGCACGUGCUCUCUCUCUCUCUCUCUCCCCCUAGCUAAACCUUGGCUGGGGAGUUUUCUGCAUUUUGCUAAGCUAGAUUGUACUCAAUGGGUUAUAGAGCCCCAGAAGAUUUUUCAGCUACACUUCGCCCACUAAAACCUUUGGAGAAAAGAGGCUGAAUGCUUGCAGUGAAACUAGUCCUGCUACCCUAAUCAUUGUUGAUCAGGCCAAGAAACCAGUACCUGAACCCAAAUUUGUCCCAGUAAGAACUCACCAUAUUGGGUAAAGACAAACCAACAAAAUUAGAUCUCCUCACCUUGAGAAGGGAAACUGAAUGAGAGAUGUAUGCUAGAAAUGUCAGUAGCAGAAGCAACGUGCAGAGGAGGAAGGAGAGAGGGCAGAGGAGGAAGGAGAGAGGGCAGAGGGAAAGAGCUAGAGAGAAAAAGAAAAAGAGGAAAGUGAACAACAGCUGGGCUCUGGAAAUUAACAUAAUAAGUCUCUGGCUAUUGGAAACUGAGGAGGAAAAAAGAACACAGAAAGUGUCAAUCAACUCUCAGACAAUUCUUUAGUGACAUGGACCAUAUUAUCAUGAUUAUCUUCAGUUCAUAGGAAUCAUUAAAUCUAUUCCCAAAAUGCAAUCUAAUAUUCUCCCAAGGAAUAUAAUAUAUUCAAAUAAAAUUAUUGACAAAGGUUACAAUCGUAAAUUAUUUAUCAGGUUGAAUUACUCCCCACCUUCCAGGGAAGUCUCAGGUUGAGGUCUUUGGAAAUAGUCAUGCCACUGUUUCCUCUUUGAGUUUAUGGUUAAUGGCACAGAGAGAAGUCUUUUCUUCCCUGGGUAGUUCUGAGUAAGAAAACAAUAGUCAAACUUGAAUGUAAUCACUGAGGCAACAAGAGAAAGAAAAGUAAUGUUUAGUUAACAGAACUGCAGACCGGAAGAGACAGGAUUCAUGGAUCUGCCAAGGUGAGGAAUACAGCCUGAAAUGCAAAUAGAAGCAGAUUGGAGAACAGGAAAGAAACUUCUGGAGAAAGCAGGCAAAGGGACCUGUUCCAAUGGAAGCACACUUUAUGUCUCCCAGAAUAGUAGUUCCCCAUCCUGGCUUCCUGUCAGAAUUACCUGCAGUUCGUUUCAAAAAAAACACAUUUCCAGAACUUGCUCAAUUCCUGCUGAAUCAAAAUAUGACUUUUUAUGCAGCUGGCCUGUCACCUACACAUGAUGAACUUUUUCCUGUCCAGAGGAAAAUAUCCAUGAUGAUGGCAAAAGUCCUUUCUUGAGAGCUGUCUUUUAUUCUCGGACUAAGGUCAUCUUAAUUUUUUAUUAUAAUAUUCUUCCUUUUAUGAAAUUGUUAUGACAAAACAUGAUGAGGUUUUUUUUAAUGUUCUUACUUAGCAAAAUAAAAAUUAGCAAAACUAUUGCUAGGUCUAUGACCUUGGAUGGUUCACCAAAAUCACCAUCACUAGUUCCUGAUUUUAAAAUCAGAGUAGUAAAACCUGGCUGGGCACGGUGGCUCACACCUGUAAUCCAAGCACUUUGGGAAGCCAAGGCAGGUGGAUCGCCUAAGGUCAGGAGUUGGGAGACUAGCCUGGCCUAACACGGUGAAACCCUGUCUCUACUAAAAAUAUAAAAAGUAGCCUGGCGUGGUGGCGAGCACCUGUAAUCCCAGCUACUCCGGAGGCUGAGGCAGGAGAAUCACUUGAACCCGGGAGGCAGAGGUUGCAGUGAGCCGAGAUCGUGCCAUUGCACUCCAGCCUGGGUAACAAGAGCGAAACUCCGUCUCAAAAAAAAAAAAAAAAAAAAAAAAAAAAAAGAGUAGUAAAACUUAACAGCAUUGUUUUGUGUAGAUUAUAGGAAAUAACAUGUAUAAUACAACUGGUACAUAAGAAACACCCAAUAUGUUCUCUAUGUUAUCAGGUAAAAUACUUUGGUUUGACUCUUGUUACUCAAAUGAUAGGAUGAUUUACUGUUUCAGGUAAGUGAAACGUCUUGACAUUGUGAUUGGCGUCCAGUCUCCUUCAAACAGGACUCUGCUUUUCUAUGAUUCUUUCUGUUGUCCCUUCCACUAUGUUUUGUAUUUGCCUCUGGUCUAGCUUCUCAAGGUAGCCUCCAGGAUGCACAGAGUGAGAGAGGAUGCUUUUCCCUAAACCAGGAACAAAAUUCCAGCCCUAAGGAGAUUGGACCACUCCCGACCAAUGAGUUUGGCCAGGGAGGUCAUGCACUGAUUGGCUCAGCCCUGGAUCAGUCUACUUCUCAACCAAUCAAGGUGCUAAGGAAACAGGAUUACCCUAAACGAUUUAACACACCGGGACUCAUUCCUGAAGCUGGAGAUGCUGUAACACAAUCAAAACUGUAAGGCUUAAAAGAAUUAAAGUAGGAAUUGCCGCAAUUCCCUUCCUAGACUUAUUCCCAAAUAUACUUACUAUGGACUACCUGCAUACAGCAGCCCCUUCACAUAUUUUUACUGCCUGUCAUAAAGUAGUCUGGGUUACAUUUAAAGAAGCUGCCAGCACUUAAUGCAUAGAAGUACUAAAAAUUUGUUACUGAUGUUUGAAAAAUAUAGAAAAUUAGAAGCGGAAUGGCUGAGUGUAGUGGCUUACACCUGCAGUCCCUACAUGUUAGGAGGCCAAGGCAGGAAGACUGCUUGAGGCCAGGAGUUUGAGACUUGGGCAGCAUAGCAAGGCUUUGUCUCUACGAAAAAUUGAAUAAAUGGAUAAAUAAUAAAAGAAAAGGAAAGAAUAAAGAAAAUUAGAAGGGGAAGAAGCCUCUUAUCCCACCAGAGAGUGUAAAUGAUUAUUAAAAUUUAAUGUAGCUCUCCCUCUCCCUCUCCCUCUCCCUCUCCCUCUCCCGCUCCGUCUCCCUCUCCGUCUCCCUCUCCCUCCACGGUCUCCCUCUGAUGCUGAGCCAAAGCUGGACGGUACUGCUGCCAUCUCGGCUCACUGCAACCUCCCUGCCUGAUUCUCCUGCCUCAGCCUGCCGAGUGCCUGCGAUUGCAGGCACGCGCCGCCACGCCUGACUGGUUUUCGUUUUUUUUUGGUGGAGACGGGGUUUCGCUGUGUUGGCCGGGCUGGUCUCCAGCUCCUAACCGCGAGUGAUCCGCCAGCCUCGGCCUCCCGAGGUGCCGGGAUUGCAGAUGGAGUCUCGUUCACUCAGUGCUCAAUGGUGCCCAGGCUGGAGUGCAGUGGUGUGAUCUCAGCUCAGUACAACCUACACCUCCCAGCCGCCUGCCUUGGCCUCCCAAAGAGCCGAGAUUGCAGCCUCUGCCCGGCCGCCACCCCGUCUGGAAAGUGAGGAGCGUCUCUGCCUGGCCGCCCAUCGUCUGGGAUAUGAGGAGCCCCUCUGCCUGGCUGCCCAGUCUGGAAAGUGAGGAGCGUCUCUGCCCGGCCGCCAUCCCAUCUAGGAAGCGAGGAGCGCCUCUUCCCCGCCACCAUCCCAUCUAGGAAGUGAGGAGCGUCUCUGCCCGGCCGCCCAUCGUCUGAGAUGUGGGGAGCACCUCUGCCCCACUGCCCUGUCUGGGAUGUGAGGAGCGCCUCUGCUGGGCCGCAACCCUGUCUGGGAGGUGAGGAGCGUCUCUGCCCGGCUGCUCCGUCUGAGAAGUGAGGAAACCCUCUGCCUGGCAACCGCCCCGUCUGAGAAGUGAGGAGCCCCUCCGUCCGGCAACCACCCCGGCUGGGAAGUGAGGAGCGUCUCCGCCCGGCAGCCACCCCGUCCGGGAGGGAGGU